GACGAACGCUGGCGGCGUGCUUAACACAUGCAAGUCGAACGGAAAGGCCCUUCGGGGUACUCGAGUGGCGAACGGGUGAGUAACACGUGGGUGAUCUGCCCUGCACUUUGGGAUAAGCCUGGGAAACUGGGUCUAAUACCGAAUAGGACCACGCGCUUCAUGGUGUGUGGUGGAAAGCGUUUGCGGUGUGGGAUGGGCCCGCGGCCUAUCAGCUUGUUGGUGGGGUAAUGGCCUACCAAGGCGACGACGGGUAGCCGGCCUGAGAGGGUGACCGGCCACACUGGGACUGAGAUACGGCCCAGACUCCUACGGGAGGCAGCAGUGGGGAAUAUUGCACAAUGGGCGCAAGCCUGAUGCAGCGACGCCGCGUGAGGGAUGACGGCCUUCGGGUUGUAAACCUCUUUCAAUAGGGACGAAGCGCAAGUGACGGUACCUAUAGAAGAAGCACCGGCCAACUACGUG
rnacentral:rRNA from 1 species